ACCGAUAUGGUGUAACGGUUAGCAUUACCGAUUCUCACUCGGUAGAUCAGGGUUCGAUUCCCUGUAUCGGUG
rnacentral:tRNA from 1 species